GAUGGCAGAAUAUCUUGAGCCGGCCUACUCUCUAUGAAAUUAUAGAAGGGAUGCGAAUUUAGUUCAACUCUGGAACAAAAUUGUUAGGCCACUAAGAACCUUGAAACCCAUUUUUAAAAAUUUCUCCUCUCAAUCAAAAAUGAUUUCAGUGUUAGAGUUCUUCAGCAGAUCCGGGUACAUAUUCGUAGUGUGUAUUGCUAGCGGAGAUGAUGUUAUAUACCAUACGUGCAACAAAUCAGUUCAAGGCUCUCAUGUAUAUUUCUGUUCUAGACACAAUGAUCUUCGAAGUUUCUAUCUGCACAAGUCAAGUUGUGCAGAAUUGCCCAUGUCUGUUUAUCUACAUGAGCAUUCAUUAAGUUUACAAGAGGAUUUUAUUUUGGGAGAGAAUGCUGCUUGCAAUAUUUGUAAAAAACGAGUCCUAGGCUCUCCUACAUAUACCUGUGUUGAUUGUCAAAAUUUCUACUUGCAUAAGAGUUGUGCAGAAUUCCCACAGCAAAUAAACCACCAUAAACACACCAGCCAUCCUCUUUCUCUCUUUCCACGCUCUGCAGAUGGUUGCACCUGUGAUAUAUGUGGUCGUGAUAUAAAGGUCUCUUAUGCAUGUGUUGAUUGUGACUUUGAUGUGUGUGUGUUUUGUGCUUUGGAACCGAGGGUGCUUCAUCAUCAAGGACACAAGGAGCACGCGCUGACAUUAAUGAACAAGGAAUCCCUUUUUGAGUGUGAUGCCUGUCAGGAGGAAGCGAAAGACUCUUCGUACGUAUGCACAACCUGUGAGUUCUGGAUCCACAAGAGUUGUGCCUAUUCCCCCUUGAUUAUUCCAUCGCCUACUUAUCACAAUCACCCUCUAGCUCUAGUCUACUCUGUUCCUGACAUUCAUCUCUUCUUUUCCCAAUACUGUGGUAUCUGCCGCAGAUAUGUUUGCCCCAGCUACUGGGUGUAUUAUUGCCACAAGUGCACAUAUUUUGUGCACAUGAAAUGUUCUACAUCCACAAUAUCUAUGGUAACUGAAAUUGAAGCAGAUGAUGACGUCGAUAAUCAACCUGAUCUGGUACUGUUUCCUCUGCCUAGCCAGGAAUCAAUAUUUGACCUCCUUGUGACUCGGUGUUGCGAGUCCGAAGACAACUUUAAAGGUAAAGGUGAAAUCAUGUCAAUAACAUCUAGUGAUCCACACGUUAUUGAAAAACAUUGGAGUCACGAGAUCCAUCCAUUACAACAGCUCCAGUUUACUAUCUAUGAGGAUGAUAGCGACGACAGUGAUGAUGAUAGGAGAGGGCUGAUAUGCAAUGGCUGUGUUCAACCUAUAACCGUUUCCUAUCCCUCUUACUACGCUUGUAUCCAGUGCGGCUUCUUUCUCCAUUCCCUCUGUGCAACUAAGUUGCCACAAAAUUUGCCUGUAGGAGCAUUGCAUGUUCACCCCGAACAUUCUCUCUUACUUCAGAUGAAGGAUAAAUUUUAUGAUAUUGUGAGUUGUGGUGUUUGCAAAUAUUCGACAAAUGGAUUCUACUAUCACUGUCAGGAUUGUGAUAUCUGUGUUGACAUCCGUUGUGCAUUCUUACCGGCCAGAAUAAAAUACAAAUCUCACAAGCAUCACUCCCUUGUUCAGCGGCCAUCUUCGAAUUCAACCUGCAGUGUAACCAGGUAUAAAAAUAAAGUUGGGAUGGAAUAUGCCUGUGAAACCUGCAGUAAUUUCCAGAUCCAUAUAUCUUGUGCAAUUGUACCAAGUAAGAUGGAACACAAAUAUGAUGUUCACCCCUUAACCUUGAAAAUUCCACCAUUCUUCUUCGAGGGAGCAUUCUACUGUGAAAUCUGUGAAGAACGAGUUAACAACCAGGAGUUGCUCUACCAUUGCAGAGAAUCUGAACAUUCUUAUCACUAUUAUUGCGGGUUUUUGGUCAGCAAUAUCAAGUUAGGAGGGACCAUUAAAGUUUUUAUUCAAGGUAAACCACACACACUUGCAUUAGUUUCGAAGAGGCCUACAAGAAAGAAGUCUACAUACACUUGUUCCCUCUGCUCAGGUUUUUACUAUAACCUCUGUUUUAUUCUCGAAUGUGAUGGUUGUGGAUUUCUGGCAUGCUUGAAAUGUGCCCAAAAACUCUCACGCGAGUCGGGACAGAUUGCACUUUUAUAAAAAUCAGAUGUUUUGGGAUCUCCAUUGCACGCAUAUAUUAAACAAUUAGGGUUAAAAAUGGGGCGAGUUCGGUGCCGGAACUUCACUUUCAGACUUCAACAGGAGUUACUAUUGCCGGAACUACCAUCAAAACUGGUGAUGAUUGUGUGUCAAUUGGUCCUGCUACUAGAAAUAUGUGGACACGGUAUCAGCAUUGGAAGUUUAGGAAAAGAUGCGAAUGAAGAUGGUGUGCAGAAUAUCACAUUGAUAAACUCCGCAUUUAAUUCAAUCAUGGCUUGCGAAUUCAAUCAUGGUUAGGCCUACCAAUUCCUUUGUUAGAAAUGUUGUUUAUCAAAAUAUUCGAUGAGAAAUAAAGGGCUUUACGAUUAAAUCAUGGGCUAGGACUACUAAUUCCUUUUUCAGCUCCGGAAAAUAUAUAUGAAAAAGUAUUUAAACUGUGCAAAGACUGUUAACUUUAACGGUCAACUUAAUGGAAGAUGAUAAAAGAGGUGUAGAUCAAAGUGCUUUUCAAACAGUUGGGUGCGUAUUGGAAAAAUAAUAUUAUUUUAUUUAAAACUAAAUCAAAAAAUGCGCUUAAACUUAUGGGUGAAAAGCGUAAAUUAUUCAGUAAAUUAUCAGAAA